ACCAUGCCUGGAAAGUUCCGGUUUUACAAGGACUAUUAAAGAGCGAAGAGGAAUCCCAGGUGCAAACCUUGCUCAAGAAUUGUACAGAGAAUAUCGGAGACUAAACCUUACUUAAGAACUAUACAGAGAAUAUCGGAGACUAAACCUUA